rnacentral:rRNA from 1 species
CCUACGGGGGGCAGCAGUGAGGAAUAUUGGUCAAUGGACGAGAGUCUGAACCAGCCAAGUAGCGUGAAGGAUGACUGCCCUAUGGGUUGUAAACUUCUUUUAUAUGGGAAUAAAAUGUUCCACGUGUGGGAUUUUGUAUGUACCAUAUGAAUAAGGAUCGGCUAACUCCGUUCCAGCAGCCGCGGUAAUACGGAGGAUCCGAGCGUUAUCCGGAUUUAUUGGGUUUAAAGGGAGCGUAGGUGGAUUGUUAAGUCAGUUGUGAAAGUUUGCGGCUCAACCGUAAAAUUGCAGUUGAAACUGGCAGUCUUGAGUACAGUAGAGGUGGGCGGAAUUCGUGGUGUAGCGGUGAAAUGCUUAGAUAUCACGAAGAACUCCGAUUGCGAAGGCAGUUCACUGGACUGCAACUGACACUGAGGCUCGAAAGUGUGGGUAUCAAACAGGAUUAGAUACCCUAGUAGUC